CACCGCCGGGGCGGACUUCACCGGCGGUGCUGAUGACGCUGCCGGUGCCGGUGCCGGUGCCGGUGCUGGUGGUGGUGG
rnacentral:tRNA from 1 species